GAGUGACCCUUAGCUUCACCUGGGGGAACCGUCCCCAGAAUUAAUGCCCAUCCUCCCCCUGGCAGGUCCUCUCCUCCUCGAGGCUGGUCAGGGCCCCCGCUCCCUGGUUCCUGGCCAGCAGGGCUGUGUCAUCGGGGCCCAGGCCUUGCCCUCUGGAGCCUUGGUCUCUCUGGCUGCCGAAUGGGAGGGGGAGGGGGCGGAGGAGGGCUGAGCCGGCCUCUUCUCUGGCUGCUCUGUGAGCCCAGAGUCCUGAUCCCAGAGACCCAUCUACCCUCCACGGCCCCCGCUUGGCAUCAGUCCCUGGCGGGCCAGGGAGGCAGAGCCGGGAAGGCGCCCAUGGCCCCCUCCAGCCGCGGCAGGGAGGCCCAGUCGGCUCUGCCAAGGGAGGACCGGGAGGACUCAGAGCCCCGGGGGCAGGAGGGAGGGCAGGCGGGUGCAGGGCAGGGCCUUUGUGCUGCCCGGGAAGCCGCCCUCCAUCCCCACUGGCCUGCUUGGCAAAGCUGACGGCAGGAAGAGCCCGUCGGCCAUCCGUCAGGGAGACGGAGUGGGCUGUGCGAGGAGGGAGCCGGGAAAUUUGAUCAUUAAGAAACCCUCCUGGCUGUCUGGGGGAAUUUAAUUAAAUUGCUGCGGAGGGCGGUGAGAGAGGGCCACAUCUGGAACCAAUAUGUGGGCUUUGAUUUCCUCUCUCCCCCUCCCCCUCCCUCGCUGCCGCUCCCCAGCUCACUGUGAACGGAACACAGUAGACCCUGGGGGAUUGGUUCCUCUGGGGCGGAAUUCCUGGCCGACAGACAGAGGGACACCGGACGCUGUGCCCUGGGAUUGGCUGUGGGGGCUUUAGCUGUGACAGGAGGUUACUUCGCUUGAUUCUCGCAACAACCCCGCAAGGUAGGUGCCGUUGUUACCUCCAAUUUGCCGAUGAGGAAACCCAGAGAGGUGAAGUGACCCAAUCCAUGUCGUGCUGCGGGAAAGUGUCAAACGCAGAGCCAGCGCAUCAGAAAGAUUUAAAACAAAAACUGGGAAAACAAAACGGUCACGUGGUAGGAGACGAAAAGAGAAGCUAAGACCCAGACUUGCCACCUGGACUGACAGAGUUGCUGUGAUUCCGUGCCUUCACAUGAGCGAAGGGUUUCCUGGUGGCCCCGGCAAGAAGGGGAAUGCAAUGGGUUGCUCAAGUUUCAUUAUUUCGUUUUUCUUUGUUUUUUCCCCAAGAGAAACAAAUGACUUGCCAGCCCUAAGUUCUCCCGGAACAACUUGGUGUGACGGGUAGGAGCCCGACAAGCUUACCGGGGCACAGAGCUGAAGCUCUCCGAGCCUGGGUCCCCUCCUCGCCCGUCACCGGGAGGGUGUUGUGAGGUCACGCGGUUCGGGGCGCUGCCUGGCUUACGGCAAGGCUCAUGAAAGAAGAGCCCCUGCUACUACUAGUAAACAUGUUUCAAAGGGGAAUAAUAUUCCACGCCUCGCCAAGGGCUGAGAACCAGUCACUGCAGCGGGAGACCCCCAGGAGGGAAACUGAGGCUGGGAGAUGCUUGGGCAGAGAGCUGAGGAGACCGCCAGCUGGCCCAUCCCGUGGAGCUCGCCUCCGCUUCCCACAGGGCGGACUGGGGUCUGGGAUGAGCAGGGAGCCCCGCUGUGAUUGCAGCCUGACACAAUAUUUACAGAACCCCGUGCUCUGCUGCGGUCCUGCCUGGUCACGUCUGAGCCCCCUCGGCCUCCGUGCUUAGAACUCCUCAGAACACGAUUUGGCCUGUGUGCCUCCACGUGCUGCUCCCGCUAAGCCGUCUCCUUCAACGGAGGCUCUUGGGUGUGUGGCCAUGGUGGUGACCAGGGGGCCAGAGGGGCUGCAGGAUUCCACGCUGGGCUUGGCCUCUGUUUUCCCAUCUGUGAAACGGGCCUGGUCGAUGAGUGAUUGCCAGUCAAGUGUCUUGCAGGGGUUGUUGUGGUAAAGAAUGACACUAAUAUAACUCCACAAAAAAUAGAGAGAACCCCCUGGCUGAGUGGCUCAGUUGGUUGGAGUGUUGUCCUGUACCCCAGAAGGUUGUGAGUUCGAUUCCCAGUCAAGGUACAUAGCUAGGUUUUGGGUUUGAUUCCUGGUCAGGGUGCAUACAGGAGGCAACUGGUCAAUGUUUCUCUCUCUCUCUCCCCCCCUUUCUUCCUCUCUCUCUUAAAAAAAAAAUCAAUAAAAACAUAUUCUCAGGUGAGGAUCAAAAAUAAAUAAAGAGAACCAUUUCAGUAGAAAAUGAGUAGUGGAUAUACAUAGGCUAUUACAAAUAAGAAAUGCAAGUGGCUAUUAAAUACCAAAAAAAACUUUACCUUCAGCCCUGGCCAGCGCUGGUCAGUGGUUAGAAGGGUUGCAGGUUGGAUUCCUGGUCAAGGGCACGUGCCUGGGUUGCAGGUUUGAUCUCCGGCCCUGGUUGGGGCGCAUUCAGGAGGCAACCAAUCGAUGUGUCUCUCUCACACCGAUGUUUCUUUCUCUCUCUCUCCCCACUUCCUUCUACUCUCUCUAAAAAUCAAUAUCCUCAGGUGAGGAUUAACAACAACAACAAGAAUUACCUUCAGAAAUGAUUCCAGGUUUGCAGAUUAAAACACGGAAAUGCCUUUUGAAAUUAAACAUCAACUGUUACGACCGCUCCUCCUGGGCGCUGCCUAUGGAGAUGCCAGCCCUCUCCUCCUGGCAUCACGCACCCUCAGGCCCCGUGACCACUCAGGCCAUCACGAAGAGAACCGCGUUCAAAAUGGAGCGUAACUGGCAGAAGCUGAGGCACGGACAGCAGGAUGCGGGCAGAUCCAGCGGCUGUUCGCCAUCCUGACGGCGGUGACGGGAGCAGCAAGAAAACGAAACACAUGCUCCCCCCGGCUCCCGGGAGUUCUCGUGUGCAGUGCCAGGAGCAGGAAGUAGCCACGCCGCUGGUGGGCAGCAGACCGCGCUGGGGGCUGUUUCCACGACGCUUCCUCUGAGAACCGCAAAGCUGUGGCGGAGGAGCAGCCAGCCAUCAGCGUCGCCUGCCUCCCACGCCCAAAUACCCUAUUUCUAGGUAUUUAUUAUAAAGAAAACAAUGAUGGGUGUACAGCAAUAGUGAGCAAUGUGUCGCCAGGCCUUCACUGAGAGCAGGGGGUGGCCCUGGCCCGUGUGGCUGUCACUUGAGCGUCACCCCACGUGCACUGAAAGGCCGCCAGUUCCAUUCCCCGUCAGGGCACACGCCCGGGUUGCGGGCUCGAUCCCCACUAGGGGGCGUGUGGGAGGCAGCUGAUCAAUGAUUCUCUCUCGUCAUGGAUAUUUCUCUCUCUCCCUCUCCCUUCCUCGCUCUCUAAAAAUCAACUUUAAAAUCUAAAAAAACAAACAAAAGAAAAAAACACCCAAACCAACCAACUGAAUAAACAAAACACAGUGGUGGGCACGACUAAUGACGCAGUAAGCAAUUAUUAGAAAGCUGGCAGCACAUGGUUCAGCUUCCAUAAUCAUGUGGCUCUCUCUCCAUCUAUCUAGAAUAUAGAUAUAAGCUAGAAAGAUAUACUCUAAAGUUGAAAGGAAUAGCCUAAAAGUUCCUUUUCUUGUGUGAUUGCUUUUUCUAGGUCUCCAAUUCGAUACUGAAUAAAUAAAUGAUUAUCUCCAAUCUCUGUCAUUAACCAGCUUUAAAAAAAUG